AUCCAUAAUACCCCCAGUUAAUAAUACAACUAACAAAUAAAAAAAGAAAAGAAAAUGAUUCUUCUUCUCUCUCGACAACGUUACGAAGAAUCACCUCCUCCGACGAAUCACCUCCGGCGACGAGCUGUUGAUAAUCUCCGGCGACGAACGUAACGAGAUGUGUAUCGGUAUGCUUUAAUCGUUAUUAUCAAUGUUUUAUGAAGAAAAGUUCAAUUUUACUUAGGGUUUUCGACUUGAAAUUUGGGGGUUUCAGUUUGUUGUUCUCCAGAUAACACAUUUGAACUUGUUUUGUUGUUUGAAUCAAACAGAAAAGGCAGAAUCAGAGUCGCAAAGAAGAAAUUUCAGGAAGCUUUAUUUACAAAUAAAUUUGGUUUACGGAAGAAGACGAGUUUGUGACUUUGCUUUUGUGCUCGUGUGGAGUGUUGAGGAAUCUCGUUGGUGUUGAAGAGAUCAAGAGGUAUAUGAUUGAAGAAGACGAUACGAUGACAACUUUCAUUAAGCUUAUUGGAUCGAAGGAAGAGAUUGUUCAGGACAGGGACACAAUGGGAGUUUCAAUACCUUAAUUACUAGCUCUGCCUGAGCUCAAGUAUCCAAUUGGAUCAGAGCCAAAGUGAUUGAAGAACAUGACCAAUUUUGGUUUGGAUCAUCGCCUCCUCUCAACGUCAUCGGAAAAAAAUCAAAUGCUGAAGCGACGAGCACCGAUCAAAAGUUUUGUUCUCCGCUCUCUGAAUCUGAGAUCUACAUAACUUCUCUCAUUUGUAUUUUUAUUGAACACCUUAUGGUCACAAAUAAAGUUUAUUCCAAAAGAA